rnacentral:rRNA from 1 species
UGGUGCCAGCAGCCGCGGUAAUUCCAGCUCCAAUAGCGUAUAUUAAAGUUGUUGCAGUUAAAAAGCUCGUAGUUGAAUUUCGGGAUCAAAUUGUCGGUCGUGCCUCGGUACGUACUGGCGUUAUUGGUUCCUCCCUUCUGAAGAACCGCGAUGUCAUUAAUUUGGUGUCGCGGGAAAUCAGGACUGUUACUUUGAAAAAAUUAGAGUGUUUAAAGCAGGCUCGCGCUUGAAUACAUUAGCAUGGAAUAAUGAAAUAGGACGUUUGAUUCUAUUUUGUUGGUUUCUAGGAUCGACGUAAUGAUUAAUAGGGAUAGUUGGGGGCAUUAGUAUUCAAUUGUCAGAGGUGAAAUUCUUGGAUUUAUUGAAGACUAACUACUGCGAAAGCAUUUGCCAAGGAUGUUUUCAUUAAUCAAGAACGAAAGUUAGGGGAUCGAAGACGAUCAGAUACCGUCGUAGUCUUAACCAUAAACUAUGCCGACUAGGGA